rnacentral:rRNA from 1 species
CCUACGGGUGGCAGCAGUAGGGAAUCUUCCACAAUGGACGAAAGCCUGAUGGAGCAACGCCGCGUGAGUGAUGACGGGUUUCGGCUCGUAAAGCACUGUAGGAAGUGACGAAAAGUAGAGGUAGAAAAUAGACUUUAUUUGACGGUAAUUACUUAGUAAGUCCCGGCUAACUACGUGCCAGCAGCCGCGGUAAUACGUAGGGGGCAAGCGUUGAACGGAUUUAUUGGGCGUAAAGGGAGUGCAGGCGGUUGAAUAAGUCUGGUGUGAAAGCCUUCGGCUCAACCGGGGACUUGCAUCAGAAACUGUUGAACUUGAGUGCAUAAGAGGGGAGUGGAACUCCAGGUGUAGCAGUGGAAUGCGUAGAUAUAUGGAAGAACACCAGUGGCGAAGGCAGCUCUCUGGUCUGCAACUGACGCUGAGACACGAAAGCAUGGGUAGCGAACAGGAUUAGAUACCCGGGUAGUC